ensembl:lncRNA
GACAGGUCUAGACAGAGACACAGUGAGUUGACAGGUCUAGACAGAGACACAAUGAGUUGACAGGUCUAGAGAGAGAAGGACAGUGAGUUGACAGGUCUAGACAGAGACACAGUGAGUUGACAGGUCUAGAGAGAUAAGGACAGUGAAUUGACAGGUCUAGAGAGAGAACAGUAAGUUGACAGGUCUACAGAGUGGACAGUGAGUUGACAGGUUUAGAGAGAUAAGGACAGUGAGUUGACAGGUCUAGAGAGAGAAGCACAGUGAGUUGACAGGUCUAGAGAGAGAAGCACAGUGAGUUGACAGGUCUAUAGAGAGAAGCACAGUGAGUUGACAGGUCUAGAGAGAGAAGCACAGUGAGUUGACAGGUCUAGAGAGAGAAGAACAGUAAGUUGACAGGUCUAGAGAGUGGACAGUGAGUUGACAGGUCUAGAGAGAGAAACACAGUGAGU